GAUGAACGCUGGCGGCGUGCCUAAUACAUGCAAGUCGAGCGAACAGACGAGGAGCUUGCUCCUCUGAUGUUAGCGGCGGACGGGUGAGUAACACGUGGAUAACCUACCUAUAAGACUGGGAUAACUUCGGGAAACCGGAGCUAAUACCGGAUAACAUGUUGAACCGCAUGGUUCAACAGUGAAAGACGGUCUUGCUGUCACUUAUAGAUGGAUCCGCGCCGCAUUAGCUAGUUGGUAAGGUAACGGCUUACCAAGGCAACGAUGCGUAGCCGACCUGAGAGAGUGAUCGGCCACACUGGAACUGAGACACGGCCCAGACUCCUACGGGAGGCAGCAGUAGGGAAUCUUCCGCAAUGGGCGAAAGCCUGACGGAGCAACGCCGCGUGAGUGAAGAAGGUCUUCGGAUCGUAAAACUCUGUUAUUAGGGAAGAACAAAUGUGUAAGUAACUAUGCACGUCUUGACGGUACCUAAUCAGAAAGCCACGGCUAACUACGUG
rnacentral:rRNA from 1 species